rnacentral:tRNA from 2 species
CGGGGUGUAGCGCAGCCCGGUUAGCGCAUCUGCUUUGGGAGCAGAGGGUCGGAGGUUCGAAUCCUCUCACCCCGA